GCGGCUGUAGCUCAGUUGGUAGAGCCCUGGAUUGUGAUUCCGGUUGUCGUGGGUUCAAGUCCCAUCAGUCGCCCCA
rnacentral:tRNA from 31 species